CAUGACACACUGGCUGGUCUGGAAUGAUUUCGGCUCCUCCGGUCCGCCCGAGUGCCACGAA
rnacentral:pre_miRNA from 1 species